UUCUCUAAGAACAGGAAACAUGCUACAUGUUAGUGACAAACCAAGAUUUUAUUUACAGAAACACUUUAAAUAUUCAUGGCAAGGGAUAGGAUAUAGAAAUACUACAUGAAUGUAUGUUUUAAAACAAAUACACUGAUUAUAUGAACGUAAUAACAAUUAAACGAUGGUAUUGUAUUGUAUUUUGCUGAAAAGAAAUUGAAUAUUUGGUUUUACACCAGUGUUUCUAAAACUUUUUUGUCCAAGGAAAACUUUGCACAUCCUGAGUAUUUAGUGGAACAACCUGCUAAAUUUUUAGAGAGGCUUAUCACGUGGCGGCCUAAUUGUUUCCGUAGUUCGCGGAACACCUAUUCAGGCCUUGGGAAACACUCUUUUACACUAGAGAUACUUAAAGGUUAUUACAUACGUCUUUGAACUUUUAAAAAAAUUAAUUGUGUCACUUUUAGACAUUUCAUCUGCAGGGGAAUAAGUAUAAAUAACUGGCUAUUUGGUGUUUCUUGUGUAACCAAUAUAGGAAUAUGUUGACAAAACAUGCAUUUUAAAAAAGGUACCAAUUUCAGACCUUGCGUUCUAUGGGGGGGGGGGGGGGGG